rnacentral:rRNA from 1 species
AGCGAACGCUGGCGGCAGGCCUAACACAUGCAAGUCGAACGAAGUCUUCGGACUUAGUGGCGGACGGGGGAGUAACACGUGGGAACGUGCCUUUAGGUUCGGAAUAACGCAGAGAAAUUUGCGCUAAUACCGAAUGAGCCCUUAGGGGGAAAGAUUUAUCGCCGAAAGAUCCGCCCGCGUUGGAUUAGGUAGUUGGUGUGGUAAAGGCGCACCAAGCCUAUGAUCCAUAGCUGGUCUGAGAGGAUGAUCAGCCACACUGGGACUGAGACACGGCCCAGACUCCUACGGGAGGCAGCAGUGGGGAAUCUUGCGCAAUGGGCGAAAGCCUGACGCAGCCCUGCCGCGUGAAUGAUGAAGGUCUUAGGAUUGUAAAAUUCUUUUACCAGGGACGAUAAUGACGGUACCUGGAGAAAAAGCCCCGGCUAACUUCGUGCCAGCCGCCGCCGUAACAC